UCUUUUGUAUGGUCAGCAAACUAAGAGGGGCUCUGCAUUGUGAUGUAAUUAAUUAUAACCAAUAUUAUAUAAAUAGUUAAUAAAUGGUUUAAUGAAUAAAGCAAGCCAGAACACCAUAGAAAAAUUUGGGAUAAAGUACCACUCUGCUCACACUACCACUACAUUGACGACCACUCUUAGCCACAAUUUAUCAACUCCUGUUUAUGGGCCAAGGAAUGUAUGGGGCACACAAAUACAUCAUUAAUAUCUAUAAGACCCAAUUUUGCAGGUAGAAUUAUUCCUACUUUACGGAUUAAGGAACCAAAACAGUUUAGGUAGUAGAGGUAGAUUACAUUAUCCUCCCCAAUUCUUCACCCUCCUGUAGCUUUGUCAUGUGACAGCAUUUUUUCCCACUUAAGCGAUAGGAGGGUUUUGAAGCCUCUUGAUUUUGGGUUGGUGGUGCAACUAGCUUUGGCCAGUAGAAUAUAGCAGAAGUGAUGCUGCACUGGUGCCACACUUAGGUCUUGGAAGUCUUGUGUGUUUUUUCUUGCCCUCUGGUACUUUAACCAGUAUCAUGGAAACACACCUAUGUGCUGGGAAACUGCGUUUUCUGAUCCAGGAAUAGAGUGGGAGACACAUGCAGCAAAGCCACUCAGGAAAGCAUUCCCAGCCAAUCUGCAGGUAUGUGAGCAAUUGCACCAGAAAUCAGAAAAUCCACCUGCUUUGAGGCCAGUUUGGAGCAGCCAACUCUUGGAUGAUGCCCAGACAUUCAGGCAAAAUCAGUGCUUAUGGUUGCAUGCCACUGAGAUUUUGUAGUCAUUUGUCAUGCAGCAAAUCUAACCAAUGCAUUGUCCUAAGAUUUGAUAAAGCCAGGAUUCUAACCCAGAUUUGUUUCAAACCAAAACAUCAUGUCAUGCUUAAUGUCCUAUGAAGGAGAUCUGACAUGAGUGUCUCCUAAGAAAGAGUAAAUAAUUGCUGCUAUUAAUGGGCUACUGACUAUGCUAUCUUAUUGAAUCUUUGCAGCAAGUCAAAGCCUUAGGUAUUAUUUCCAUACUAUAGACAAGGCUUGGAGCAUUUAUGUCCCCAGCGUUCACAUAAUAUAAAGUGGAAGAGCCAAGAUUUGUAUACAGAUUUCUUUUUCUCUAAAGCCAAUGAACCCUCUGUUUUCACUGGAUUUGGAUAGGUUUCUUGAUGUGCGUGUGCGUGUGUCUAUGUAUGUGUGUGUGUGAGUGUGUGUGUGUGUGUGUGUGAAUGAAUGUUGCGAGGAACUUUUUUGCGGGGGAGGUCACCCCACUGUGCUUUGUGUAUUUCCUUGUCUGACUGAUUUGUCUACGAUGUGAGGAUCCAGUUACCAAGACAGUGUAUACUCCAUGGCCAAGAACAUGGAUAUAUUCUGAAAUUUCUGCUAAGGGAGAAAGGAUUGUUACUUUUGUUUUGUUUUUACUACAUUUAUGCUUUCAUCAAUGGCUAUCAUUCUUCAAAUUUUCAAAAAUCGUCUCGUUUUUCCUGUGAUAUUUUCUCCCUUUCCUGAACAACUUGGGAAAGUGGGAAAGUUCAUCACAUCUUUGUAAAAUUUUUUUUCAAGAAGCAUCACCAACACUGCCCUCCCAGCAGGCCACUCAUGUUGAAACUAUUGUCAAAAUAUGGCACUCUGCCAUCAGUGAGAAUAGAUCUUGUCACUAACUCCGAGGGCUAUUGUAGAAAUUUGUCUCAUAGGUAUAUCCAGAAUCAGCAAGAUUUAUUUUCUUCCUUUGCUAUACAAUUGCAGCUCUUACUGCUUUGAGUUGUUUAGAAUGUGAAAAACUAGAUUUUAGGGAUUAGGACAAUGUAGGUACAUAAAAAAGAGGGUGGAAGAGUUCCAUGGAAACAUAUCUCCAGUGGGAUCAGAAUCAUCUAAAAGCAUUUGUGGCCCAGGUGGAAAACAGCAUGUGUGAAAAUCACUGUCCACGAUGGGAAUCAGGAGAACAAGAGAGUCCAUGGCAUUUUAGGGUAUAGUGGAGAGCACACAGGCUUUGGAGCUAAAUGGGAAUUAGCUCUGCCAUUUAGUGUAUAUGUGAACUUUUUUCCCCCCAAGUUAAUUGUUUUCUUGGGAUCUCCAUUUUGUCAUUUAAAAUAAGAAGUGUUAGUUGCAAAUCUUUCAGCUUCCAGGGAUAGAUGGCAAUGUGAACUAGUUUAUAAAAAGUGAAAUCCAUCAGCUCACAAUACUGAUGAAUCUGGCUUUCAUUCUGGCUGCCUGCUGGUUUGGCUGGCUUCAGGUAUAGCUGGCUUCAGGGGUUCAGACUGCAUCAUCACAGUUCUUUUCAUCUCCAAUGCUCAGCCUUGCCUACCUAUGCUUGGUAUCAUUCUCAGAUAGGCUUUUCCUCUGGGAUGGCAAGGGGCCAUCGGAUUUUCAAACUCCUCAGAGCUCAUAAAGUCACUGAAACAGCAAGUGCCUUUAUCUAUGUGUCCAAGAUCUAUCUAAAUAUGGGAGUGACGGUGCUAGAUGUCUUUUGUGUUUCCUUCCAGAGACAUCUUUCAGAAGGAAGAACUCUUUCACCCUCUCCUUUGCCUUGGGAAGUGGUUCCACGUGAACCAUAUCAAGGUCUUCCUCCCCCUCUGAUUUUCACCUGGGUUUGGCCAAUGAGGAGCCCUGGCAGGAACGGCAAAGAGAAGACAACCAGCUUGGGAAAGACCGGUCUAGAUAAUACAGAGCUUCACCGUCCAGUAUGACAGCCACCAGCUACUUGCAGCUAUGGAAUACCUGCGAUAUGGUGGGUCUGAACGAAGAUGUGCAGUAAGUAUAAAAUGCACACUGGAUUUGAAGACUCAGUAUGGAAGAGUGUAAACUCCUUGAGAAAGGAUGUAGCCUUCUGUGUAUUUGUACUGCUUCGUUCCCAUCAAAGGAGGAAUGAAUAAAUGGAUGACUCAAUUGAGGAACUGUUUUCUGCUGGAUCCAGAUGCUGCUUCAGAAUCUUCUUCAGUGUGUACUCUAGACAGCCACGAGCAAUGAGAACUGGCACUCUAGAUGAGGCCUAUUUGUCAGGCUGCUGCAGAGAACUCUUCUCUCAUUGCCUCUACAGUGCAAAUGUCUUCUGCAAGGGAAUCUUGAGCAUAUCCACUGCCUGGAUUUUCUCUAAAGAUGACUGCCAGUAGGUUUUCCUUUCUCUCUGUGCACAUGCUGCUUCUUCCACUUAGAAAUGGAGUCUGUUUCCCUUCUCCUUGAAUCUAGGCUGGCUGGUGGAUUUGCUUUAACCACUACAGGGGGGCAGAAGUGACAGUGAGCCAGCUCUGAGACUAGCCCUUAAAAGGUCUGGGAGCCUCUACCUUCAUUUGCUCAGAAUCAGCUACCAUGCUGUAAUGAAGUCUAAGCUAUCCCCUUGGAGAGAAGACAUGUGGAGGGACCCUGGAGGAUGGAAUAUAUGCAAUAAAAGAGACCACAUGAAAAAGAACUAAGCUCCCCAGCCAACAGCCAGCACCAAGACCCAGACCCUUGAGAGAGGCCUCUGGGAACUUCCAAACCAUUCCAGCCGGCAACUGGAUGCACCCACACGAGUGAUACAGGUGGGACAUUGUGUGGAGCAGAACCACCAGUUAAAGUUCAAAUCGUGAGAUAUAAUAAGCUGUGAUUGUUCUACCUGACUAAGGUUGUUUUUUUUUUAUUUUUAUUUUUUAUUGAUGUACCAUUGACAUACAAUGUUGUAUUACUUUCCAUUGUAUAGCAAUGUGACUUAAUUAUACAUACAAGUAUAUAUAUUCCUUUUCAGAUUCUUUUCCAUUAUAGGUUAUUACAAGAUAUUGAAUAUAGUUCUCCAUGCUAUACAGUAGGUCCUUGUUUAUUUUAUUCACAGUGGUAUGUAUCUG